rnacentral:rRNA from 1 species
CCUAAGGUAGCGAAAUUCCUUGUCGGGUAAGUUCCGACCUGCACGAAUGGCGUAACGACUUCCCCACUGUCUCGACCAGGAGCUCGGCGAAAUUGCAGUACGAGUAAAGAUGCUCGUUAAGCGCAGAAGGACGAAAAGACCCCGGGACCUUUACUAUACCUUGGUAUUGGCGUUAGGCGCGGAUUGUGUAGCAUAGGCGGGAGGCUUCGAAGCAUGGGCGCCAGCCCGUGUGGAGCCGCAAGGUGAAAUACCGCUCUGUUCUCGUUUGACGUCUAACCUCGAACAGUCAUCCUGUUCAGGGACAGUGCCUGGCGGGUAGUUUAACUGGGGCGGUUGCCUCCCAAAGAGUAACGGAGGCGCUCAAAGGUCCGCUCAGCCCGGUUGGCAAUCGGGUUUCGAGUGUAAUCGCACAAGCGGGCUUGACUGCGAGAACGACGGUUCGGGCAGGGACGAAAGUCGGAGAUAGUGAUCCGGUGCCGGCGCACGGGCGCGGCAUCGCUCAACGGAUAAAAGGUACCCCGGGGAUAACAGGCUGAUCAUUCCCAAGAGUCCAUAUCGACGGGAUGGUUUGGCACCUCGAUGUCGGCUCGUCGCAUCCUGGGGCUGGAGCAGGUCCCAAGGGUUCGGCUGUUCGCCGAUUAAAGCGGCACGCGAGCUGGGUUCAGAACGUCGUGAGACAGUUUGGUCUCUAUCCUCUGCGCUCGUUGGAAUGCUGAGGAGGCCUGCCCAUAGUACGAGAGGACCUGGGUGGACGAACCUCUGGUAUGCCGGUUGUCACGCCAGUGGCACGGCCGGUUGGCUACGUUCGGAAGGGAUAACCGCUGAAAGCAUCUAAGCGGGAAGCCUGCUCCAAGAUAAGCAUUCCGUGGAACCUUCGAGUUCCUGUAGUCCCCAUGCAGAACACGUGGUCGAUAGGCCGGACGUGGAAGCCCCGCGAGGGGUGGAGCCGACCGGUACUAACGGACGAAAGGCAACACUGA